rnacentral:tRNA from 1 species
GCCGGUGUAGCUCAGUGGUAGAGCAACCGCCUUGUAAGCGGUAGGUCGUCGGUUCAAUCCCGACCUCCGGCU